GUGCUUACUUUGGCAGCACAUAUACUAAAAUUGGAAUGACAUAGAGAAGAAUAGAAGGAUGACAUGCAAACUCGUGAAGCGUUCCAUAUUAAA
ensembl:snRNA U6 U6 spliceosomal RNA